AGAGGGGUGCGAGCGUUAAUCGGAAUUACUGGGCGUAAAGGGUGCGUAGGCGGGAUGAAUAAGUUAGAUGUGAAAGUCCUGGGCUUAACCUAGGGAUUGCAUAUAAUACUGUUGAUCUGGAGUGAAGUAGAGGGUGGCGGAAUUUCCGGUGUAGCGGUGAAAUGCGUAGAUAUCGGAAAGAACACCAGUGGCGAAGGCGGCCACCUGGACUUCAACUGACGCUGAGGCACGAAAGCGUGGGUAGCGAACAGGAUUAGAUACCCUGGUAGUCCACGCUGUAAACGAUGAAGACUAGCUGUUGGGACCUUGGUUUCAGUAGCGCAGCAAACGCAAUAAGUUUUCCGCCUGGGGAGUACGGCCGCAAGGUUA
rnacentral:rRNA from 1 species